UCUUCCUCCUGCUCUGGCCAUGUAAGA
rnacentral:piRNA from 1 species